rnacentral:rRNA from 1 species
ACUGAACGCUGGCGGUAGGCCUAACACAUGCAAGUCGAACGGCAGCACAGUAAGAGCUUGCUCUUACGGGUGGCGAGUGGCGGACGGGUGAGGAAUACAUCGGAAUCUACUUUUUCGUGGGGGAUAACGUAGGGAAACUUACGCUAAUACCGCAUACGACCUACGGGUGAAAGCAGGGGAUCUUCGGACCUUGCGCGAUUGAAUGAGCCGAUGUCGGAUUAGCUAGUUGGCGGGGUAAAGGCCCACCAAGGCGACGAUCCGUAGCUGGUCUGAGAGGAUGAUCAGCCACACUGGAACUGAGACACGGUCCAGGCUCCUACGGGAGGCAGCAGUGGGGAAUAUUGGACAAUGGGCGCAAGCCUGAUCCAGCCAUACCGCGUGGGUGAAGAAGGCCUUCGGGUUGUAAAGCCCUUUUGUUGGGAAAGAAAAGCAGCAGGUUAAUACCCCGCUGUUCUGACGGUACCCAAAGAAUAAGCACCGGCUAACUUCGUG